rnacentral:lncRNA from 1 species
AUAUCUAUCCAAGAAUCGGUUAGACGAAUGCAGAAAGGGUUGAAAUAGGUUUAACAAGGUUUUGGCAAUUUCUAUCAAUGUAUACUACAUUUUCUUCUUUCUUAAAGAAAGGCAUACAAGGAAACCAUCCAGCUCAAUCGCUCUCUAAUUCACUGCCCGCAGGAACCUAAAUUGACAAAACAAUAAGAAAAGAAAGGUGGAAUGAGAAGUUGAAAAGCUAACGAAAAAAACCAUGUUUUGAAAAUUAACAUCCUUUUUAAAUAAAAUAGUCAUAAUAUACGUUUCAAGCUCAUUAACGAAAGUGAUCGUGUUUAUACAUGAGGAGUUGAAUCCUCAAGUUGACUAAACUAGCACACGAUCUUUCUCCCCAGGCCGUUGGUCCGUAGGAUACUUAUACCACUGUAACACCAGGAUGGUAACCAGUAGGAUAACUAUUGGUAAGUUAUCAACAAUCCUAAAAACACUUUACUUACCAGGAGGUUAUGUCUUCCAUUUCUCCAAAAACGCUUUCGCGGUUGGUAUCAUUAACUUGGGAAUCAAGUCGCUCAAAGGAAUUAGUUUGAGACAUGAUAUCAAUUAAAUGUUCCUUUUGGAAUUUUUGAAUAUGUGAGUUUACUUGAGUAAACUCAAGCAAAAAACCGUCGUGGCCUUCGGCCGAAAUAAUUUUUUCCAAGGUAGCAUUGGGAAAAGAUUUGGCAAUUUCAACUUGUUCGUCAAAUGUGAAAAGACCAUCGCUUUCAAUACCGAGUACGAGUACGGGUAAAGACAAAUCCUUCAUGACUUCCUUAGGAGAGUCUGAACCGCGUCCACGAGUAAUAUCAUGGGUGUCCAACUUUUUAGUAAUCGAAAUGUAACAAUUAGCAUCAAAGCGACUUACAAACUUCUUCGCUUGGUAACGUAAAUACGAUUGCGCAGAGAAGUAAGUAUUAGCAGGACGUCUUAAUAACGAACUCUGGUUAAGGGAAGAACUGUCUGUAGUCUGAGAGGCACCUAAAGAAGGUAAAGACGAGACAGAAGAGGCGGGGGAAUUUAAAGCACUUUCAGAAGUAGGUGAUGAUCCAUUGGAUCGACAAGGUCGUUCACGGCGAUUACGGUUUCCUUCGUUGUGAACGACCCAAUGUGCAUUACUGGGCGUGAGAGGAGUGGGUAAACGAUCUGGAUAGGGGUGACGAGACGCAUCAGGAACAGUACGGGCAAAGCGACGUUCGAAAGAACAUUUGGAGCGAUAUGUCAACAAGGCAGACAUACGAGCAGCUCCAAGGCCACUUACAGGCUGAUCGUCUAUGCCGUAGUAUCCAUCAUUAAACUUAGGGUCAGAAUAUAUACUCUGGCGUUGCGCUUCAGACCAGCUAAUGCACCACGCGGAAUGACGAAGAGAGGUAGAAAUGGGAACAAUUGAUCGCACAAAUUCCUUAUCAAAUGCCCACUCCAAAACCAGCAUACCACCCAUGGAGCCACCUACUGCCAUAGCAAUUUGCUUUACACCCAAUCUUUGUAAAAUAAGUUUAUGGAUGUUUACAUCAUCACGUAUGGUUGCUAAAGGAAAUUCUGGCCCAUAAACACUAUGAGUCUCAGCGUUCCAUGUAACAGGAGAGGCGCUUCCGUAUGGGCUACCAAGAGAAUUAAGGCAUACGAUAAAGAAAUGUGAUGGAUCAAACGCACGACCAGGACCGAGUAAAGGACCCCACCAAUCUCCAGCAUCAGCAGAACCACUUAAAGCAUGACAAAGAAGAAGACAAUUGUUUCCUUCUUUAUUCAAAGUACCCCAAGUCUUGAAGGCAACGGGAACAUCGUAAAGGAUGUCGCCACACUCCAACGUAAAUUUGGGAACAAUUGCAAUUUUUUGAUCUGAAAUAAGCUGAACAAAUUUAUUUUCUUGCUGAGACGGAUGACAGGAGUCAGUAAAGACAAUUGAUUCAAUCGGAGAUUGAGAUUCCAUUUUUAUCAAACGAUUGAUAGUCAAAUUUUG